rnacentral:misc_RNA from 1 species
AAGUCGUAACAAGGUUUCCGUAGGUGAACCUGCGGAAGGAUCAUUACCAAUUUUCGGGGGGGACUUUGGUCCCUGUCUGAACCCUUGUCUUUUGCGUACCAUUUGUUUCCUCGGCGGGCUCUGCCUGCCGAUAGGAUACUAUAAAAACCCUUUGUAAUUGCAAUCAGCGUCAGAAAACACAUAAUAAUUACAA